GAUGCCAGUAGUGUUUUUGAUUCCAUAAAGGGACAACACUUGAAACACUUGCAGGAGUGGUUUCCCUGGUAGAUCCAGAGGUGGAUCAAUCAAGGCCUUUCCUAUGACCAUAA